rnacentral:lncRNA from 1 species
UUAGGAUUAUUGACUUACUAGCUUCUGUUGAAUCCAAUAUUGAUAGUUCCAUCAUUCUAACUGGGUUAUAUUGCUUGAUUUGAAUAUUGCAGGCUUAUCACAGGAUGAUUUCUAUGAGCCCUGACUAUAAGGAUGAGUUUAUAAUAAUUUGAUUAAUACCAUUCCUUCACUAAGUCACCCUCCUAUUUUAUUUGACAACUCCUCUAGAGGCCAUUCUAGCUUAAC